GAUGAACGCUAGCGGGAGGCCUAACACAUGCAAGCCGAGCGGUAUUUGUUCUUCGGAACAGAGAGAGCGGCGCACGGGUGCGGAACACGUGUGCAACCUGCCCUUAUCUGGGGGAUAGCCUUUCGAAAGGAAGAUUAAUACCCCAUAAUAUAUUGAGUGGCAUCAUUUGAUAUUGAAAACUCCGGUGGAUAGAGAUGGGCACGCGCAAGAUUAGAUAGUUGGUGAGGUAACGGCUCACCAAGUCAAUGAUCUUUAGGGGGCCUGAGAGGGUGAUCCCCCACACUGGUACUGAGACACGGACCAGACUCCUACGGGAGGCAGCAGUGAGGAAUAUUGGACAAUGGGUUAGCGCCUGAUCCAGCCAUCCCGCGUGAAGGACGACGGCCCUAUGGGUUGUAAACUUCUUUUGUAUAGGGAUAAACCUACUCUCGUGAGAGUAGCUGAAGGUACUAUACGAAUAAGCACCGGCUAACUCCGUG
rnacentral:rRNA from 1 species